CGAGACCAGCCGCAAAUUUUUUUAGGGUUUGGUGUUUCUUCCACAAUGAAUCGAAGUCUUUUUCUUCUUCGAUCGCUGUAAGGCGGUGUCUAUAUUCCUCUAAAAUGGCUAAUUCAUCAAUCCUUUUUCAGAAUAGAAGUCAGUCAUAUGUUUUUCAACCGUGGAGGUGAGAUUGACAGAAACGUCAAACGCGGUGGAAAGACUUUCUGUCACCGGCUGAUCCGGAAAUCAAGUGAUUGAAUCACGAGCUGGGAGAGAUAGGUUUGGGUUUGAUCUUGGACUCAACGAAGGAUGAUGAACCAGAUCCAUAUACUCGCGGAUAUGUCUCUUCGUUAUGUAGCUAAGCGCUGAUCUUCUCUUUUCAUCUUUUUGCUUUCAGGAAGUGAAUAGAUCCUAAAGGUAUUGUUUUUGUUGGUGUUGUUAUUACAGUUGCUUUGUCGCUGACAAAGAAGAAAAGAAGGUAGGAGCAGAAGGAGAGUAUUGUUAAUGGUAAGAAGAGUCUAUACAUAAGGCUAGGUUGCCGUUGUGAUUGGCCCAAUAUAAAACCGCCGGGAUGGGGUCCGUCGUCUGACACCGGAGCUCAUCCAAGCUUCUCAUCAAGUAUUCUUAAACAAUGCUCUUUUGCUGGAGAGAUUUUCUAAGCAAACUAUCGAUUUUUGGAUUCUUGCAGAAGGGGAGGAUUAUGUAGCCGAAGCAGAGAGUUCUGUUUUAGAAAGCUUGAGCAGCCAUGUCCGUACUGUUGUCUCAACUUUGGGAGGUAAACAUGGAGCUGUGGGGAGAGCCGAUAAGUGGAGACAUCUUUACUCUGGAUUUACUGUAUGGGUAUCACAAACUGAAGCCACAGGCCAAUUCUCUCUGCAUGUGACCUUUAUCAACAAACACAGAAUGAUCAUUUGCUUACACAUCAAAGAUUGUUUCUGAAUUUAGAUGACGAAUCAGCUAAAGAAGAAGCGAGGUGAAACAGGCAAGAGAGGGAGAUUGGUUAUUCAAACGCAGACGUGGUGGUGAAGCUCCAAGCUUGGGACCCAACGUAUUCCAAGAGCGUGUCUCAGGCGUCGUUAAGUGCACUCAAGCAACUGAUCAUCUUAGACAAGGGACUUCCAGGUAAGAAGAGUCCGUACAUAAGGCUAGGUUGCCGUGGCGAUUGGCCCAAUAUAAAACCGUGGGGAUGGGAUCCGUCGUCUGACACCGGAGCUCAUCCAAGCUUCUCAUACGUAUUCUUAAAACAAUGCUCUUUUGUUCUCUCUUCUAUAAAACCCAGCAACAAGCGUUGUAAAGAGUUAUCACUUUCAUGUCAUUGAUAAUUUCUGUACAAGACGUAUAUUUGAUGAUUUAAGUUUUGACUCUUUGAGUAAA